AUUGAACGCUGGCGGCAGGCCUAACACAUGCAAGUCGAACGAGUGGCGGACGGGUGAGUAAUGUCUGGGAAACUGCCUGAUGGAGGGGGAUAACUACUGGAAACGGUAGCUAAUACCGCAUACCAUCAGAUGUGCCCAGAUGGGAUUAGCUAGUUGGUGGGGUAACGGCUCACCAAGGCGACGAUCCCUAGCUGGUCUGAGAGGAUGAGCAGCCACACGGGGACUGAGACACGGUCCAGACGCCUACGGGAGGCAGCAGUGGGGAAUAUUGGACAAUGGGCGAAAGCCUGACUCAGGAAGGCCGCGUGAAUGAAGAAGGUUUUCGGAUUUUAAAGCACUUUUUGUGGGGAGGCGGUAUCUACACAGAAAGCCACGGCUAACUACGUGCCAGCAGCCGCGGUAAUAC
rnacentral:rRNA from 1 species